rnacentral:rRNA from 1 species
GACGAACGCUGGCGGCGUGCUUAACACAUGCAAGUCGAACGGAAAGGCCCUGCUUUUGUGGGGUGCUCGAGUGGCGAACGGGUGAGUAACACGUGAGUAACCUGCCCUUGACUUUGGGAUAACUUCAGGAAACUGGGGCUAAUACCGGAUAGGAGCUCCUGCUGCAUGGUGGGGGUUGGAAAGUUUCGGCGGUUGGGGAUGGACUCGCGGCUUAUCAGCUUGUUGGUGGGGUAGUGGCUUACCAAGGUUUUGACGGGUAGCCGGCCUGGGAGGGUGACCGGCCACAUUGGGACUGAGGUACGGCCCACACUCCUACGGGAGGCAGCAGUGGGGAAUAUUGCACAAUGGGCGGAAGCCUGAUGCAGCAACGCCGCGUGCGGGAUAACGUCCUUCGGGUUGUAAACCGCUUUCGCCUGUGACGAAGCGUGAGUGACGGUAAUGGGUAAAGAAGCACCGGCUAACUACGUG